UGAAUACGAGACGCUAAGGCGUCGAAGUAGUGUAUGUCAUACUUCCAAGAAAAGCUUGCACUGUCAUAGAUAAAAAACGCCUGUACCAUAACCGACACAGGUGGGUAGGUAGAGUAUACUAAGGGGCGCGAGAUAACUCUCUCUAAGGAACUCGGCAAAAUAACUCCGUAACUUCGGGAGAAGGAGUGCCUUAUUCUUAAGGUUGCAAUAACAAGAUCCAAGCAACUGUUUAUCAAAAACACAGGUCUCCGCUAAGUCGUAAGACGAUGUAUGGGGGCUGACGCCUGCCCAGUGCCAGAAGGUUAAAGAAGCUGGUUAGCAUUUGCGAAGCUAGUAACUGAAGCCCUGGUGAACGGCGGCCGUAACAAUAACGGUCCUAAGGUAGCGAAAUUCCUUGUCGGGUAAGUUCCGACCCGCACGAAAGGCGUAAUGAUUUGGAUACUGUCUCGGAGAGGGGCUCGGUGAAAUAGACUUGUCUGUGAAGAUGCGGACUACCUGCACCAGGACAGAAAGACCCUAUGAAGCUUUACUGUAACUUGAAAUUGAAAUUGGACUUUAUUCGCGCAGUAUAGGUGGGAGGCGUUGAUUAUAAUCUUGCGGGAUUAUUGGAGCCAUUAGUGAGAUACCACUCUUGUAAUGUUAGAUUUCUAACUUUGAAUCAUUAUCUGGUCAAAGAACAGUUUCAGGCGGGCAGUUUGACUGGGGCGGUCGCCUCCUAAACGGUAACGGAGGCGUACAAAGGUUCCCUCUGAACGGUUAGAAAUCGUAUCUAGAGUGUAAAGGCAUAAGGAAGCUUGACUGUGAGACCUACAAGUCGAGCAGGGACGAAAGUCGGUCUUAGUGAUCUGACGGUACUGAGUGGAAAGGCCGUCACUCAACGGAUAAAAGUUACUCUAAGGAUAACAGGCUGAUCUCCCCCAAGAGUUCACAUCGACGGGGAGGUUUGGCACCUCGAUGUCGGCUCAUCGCAUCCUGGGGCGGUAGUACGUCCCAAGGGUUGGGCUGCUCGCCCAUGAAAGCGGUACGCGAGCUGGGUUCAGAACGUCGUGAGACAGUUCGGUCCAUAUCUGGUGUAGGCGUUAGAAUAUUGAGAGGAGCCUUCUUUAGUACGAGAGGACCGAGAAGACAUACCUCUGGUGUACCAGUUAUCGUGCCAACGGUAAACGCUGGGUAGCUAUGUAUGGAGUGGAUAACCGCUGAAAGCAUCUAAGUGGGAAGCCCACCUCAAGAUAAGUAUUCUCAUC
rnacentral:rRNA from 1 species